GGGGCCGUAAUUUGGUUUCGACAGAGUAUUGAUUUGGCUUAACUGCAAGUAGAAGUUCAUCUUUAACGAACAAAAAUAAAUUAAAUGACAAAAAAACAAGCGCAUUUGGCGCUCCUGCACUAGCUUUUGCCUAAGAUAGGUAUUGGUGCAUUCCAUGCUGAGUUAACUUAGGACUCAAUAUUGGGAUUCAUAUUACUAAGUUAUAUCUAUAUAUUAGUCUAGAAUAUAUAGAUGAAUUUAAUUAGACUUACUUGUUAGAGGGUUGUUGGUGCCUUGUUCUAGCAAGGAAAAUAAAACACUAACUAAACUUGUAGAUGUUAUUCUGAAUGUGCUUUGGACAGCGGUUCGAGUCCGCUCGGUUCCACCA
rnacentral:tmRNA from 1 species